rnacentral:rRNA from 1 species
ACCUGACUGCUAUCGGAUUGAUACUAAGCCAUGCGAGUCAUUGUAGCAAUACAAGGCAUACGGCUCAGUAACGCGUAGUCAACCUAACCUAUGGACGGGAAUAACCUCGGGAAACUGAGAAUAAUGCCCGAUAGAACAUUAUGCCUGGAAUGGUUUAUGUUCCAAAUGAUUUAUCGCCAUAGGAUGGGACUGCGGCCUAUCAGUUUGUUGGUGAGGUAAUGGCCCACCAAGACUAUUACAGGUACGGGCUCUGAGAGGAGUAGCCCGGAGAUGGGUACUGAGACACGGACCCAGGCCCUAUGGGGCGCAGCAGGCGAGAAAACUUUGCAAUGUGCGAAAGCACGACAAGGUUAAUCCGAGUGAUUUGUGCUAAACGAAUCUUUUGUUAGUCCUAGAAACACUAACGAAUAAGGGGUGGGCAAGUUCUGGUGUCAGCCGCCGCGGUAAAACCAGCACCUCAAGUGGUCAGGAUGAUUAUUGGGCCUAAAGCAUCCGUAGCCGGCUCUGUAAGUUUUCGGUUAAAUCUGUACGCUUAACGUACAGGCUGCCGGGAAUACUGCAGAGCUAGGGAGUGGGAGAGGUAGACGGUACUCGGUAGGAAGUGGUAAAAUGCUUUGAUCUAUCGAUGACCACCUGUGGCGAAGGCGGUCUACCAGAACACGUCCGACGGUGAGGGAUGAAAGCUGGGGGAGCAAACCGGAUUAGAUACCCGGGUAGUCCCAGCUGUAAACUAUGCAAACUCAGUGAUGCAUUGGCUUGUGGCCAAUGCAGUGCUGCAGGGAAGCCGUUAAGUUUGCCGCCUGGGAAGUACGUACGCAAGUAUGAAACUUAAAGGAAUUGGCGGGGGAGCACCACAAGGGGUGAAGCCUGCGGUUC